rnacentral:misc_RNA from 1 species
GUGCUGCCAGAGGCCGGACUACGUGAUUUUACGUUUGAGGCUGCUCAUGAUGCUAUCAAACAAUAUGUUGCUUGCAGAUUCAGUCAUCUUUUGCUAGAUAUUUCAGAUGCUCUUGUAAAAGUCCAUGAUAAUCAAAAGGGAUUAAUUGAAGAAGAGCAUCCUUUGCAGUCUGCCCUCGAGACCAGCAAAAAGGCAUUAGUACAAGGCAGCAUGGACGCCUUGCUGGAUUCCCGCCGACUUCUUGAUGAAAACUUGGAAGUGCUAUCAAGUUUGACAGACUUGAUCAUUGAGUGGGUGCAAGAAGGAUUCCAGCACUUCUUCAGGAAGCUAAAUGAUCACUUUUUCAUGCUUUCGGGAAAGAAAUAUUCUGCUAACGAGGAUCUAACCUUUGGGGAAGGAAUGCAAGGUGAUAAAGUACUUCCCGAGCUUGUUCUUUUGCUGGCUCAACUCUCUGUUUUCAUUGAGCAAAAUGCCAUUACCAGAAUCACUGAGGAAAUAUCUUCUUUCUCGGGUGGCGGGACUCGGGGCUAUGAAAAUAGUUCAGCUUUUGUUCCUGCAGAAAUUU